AUUGAACGCUGGCGGCAGGCCUAAUACAUGCAAGUCGAACGAGUGGCGGACGGGUGAGUAAUGGUUGGGAAUCUGGCUAAUGGAGGGGGAUAACUAGGAGAAACUGUAGAUACUACCGCGUACCAUAGGAUGGGAUCUAGUGGGAUUAGGUAGUUGGUGAGGUAAAGGCUCACCAAGAAGACGAUCCCUAGCUGGUCUGAGAGGAUGAGCAGCCACACUGGGACUGAGACACGGCCCAGACUCCUACGGGAGGCAGCAGUAGGGAAUAUUGCGCAAUGGGGGCAACCUGACGCAGCCAGGCCGCGUGAAUGAAAAAGGCCUUCGGGUCGUAAAGAUCUUUCGGUAGCGAGGCGUUAGCGACAGAAGAAGCACCGGCUAACUCCGUGCCAGCAGCCGCGGUAAUUC
rnacentral:rRNA from 1 species